CUCGGAGCCAGAUGGUUUCGUUCCAAAUGUUUAAAAUCUAUAAAUCUUUAAUCUAUAAAUUCUGUUGUCACUAUGAGAAUGAUAGGUUAAAUUUUGCAGUCCUCACAGAUAGUUACCCUCUGAGUAGACAUCAUCAAAGAUUAAAAAGUCAUUAUUUCUUGGCUUUUUAUAUAUUUUUCCUUCUUUGUCAUUUUUGUGUAAGUUCCUACGGGGAAAAAAUUAUUCUGGGCUCUGAGCUGAAGAAGAUCAGCAUUGAGCUUCUCUGAACUUGGUGUUCAGAGUGUUUUCCAGUGUAUUGCUCCUCUUUGGUCUAGCUGCAGUUUUUUAUGACUUGGUGGAAGGCGUUUCUUUUGCAAUUGGAGCUGAAAGGCUGGGGGAGCACUGGAAAAAUGCAGCCUUUGUGAGGGCCAGGUGUCCCUCUCGAAAUCUGCAAUGCGAGGCCAGAAGAUGGAAGCAAAUCCCUAAUGUACGUGUAAGGAAGAUGGGCCUUUCUGCCACCAUCUUACAACACAUCUGUCACAGAAGUUCUGACAAGGUAAACUUGUGGGAACGGGCACUGAGAUCAGCGACUGUGACAUAACCUCCCUAUUACAGAAGAUAUACAAUUAUGUGUUUGUGCGCUCCUAGGAAUAUAUGAUUGUCCAUCGACCCGAACGCCUCACACAUGAGUUUUUGAUCCUGAGGCCUAAGGGGUCGGGGCCUGCGCUGCGACCGAG
ensembl:lncRNA